GCAGUCACCCGGUGGAGGAACUUGUUUUUUGACAGGCAUACUACAGAUGCUGUGCUGCGAACGGACACUGCAGUCACCUGUGGGAGGGGUCAAUCAAAUCGGAUCUCAAAAACAGAUGUCGCGAAUCUGAUCUGAUCUACCUACCUCUAUGUGGCAAUAGAGUACCUGCUUUUACUGGCCAGGGGACCAAGAUGAAAACAAGAGGCCUGUACCCAGACAUACAAGCACCCAUCAAGUCACCCAGUCCUCCACCACCUGCCGUGCAGCUAUACCCAUCCAUCAAAUCCAGCCACUUACCCACCCUAACC